rnacentral:rRNA from 1 species
GGAUGAACCCCUAAAUAUAAGGUGGAUCCGCCACUGGCGAGAGUAAUACUAGGAUGGGUGACCCCCCGGAAAGUCCUCGUGUUGCAUCCC